rnacentral:rRNA from 1 species
UAGAUACCCGGGUAGUCCACGCCGUAAACGAUGGAUACUAGCUGUCCGGGACCUUGAGUUCUGGGCGGCCAAGCGAAAGUGAUAAGUAUCCCACCUGGGGAGUACGUUCGCAAGAAUGAAACUCAAAGGAAUUGACGGGGGCCCGCACAAGCGGUGGAGCAUGUGGUUUAAUUCGAUGAUACGCGAGGAACCUUACCAGGGCUUAAAUGCAUAUUGACAGGUCUAGAGAUAGACUUUCCUUCGGGCAAUUUGCAAGGUGCUGCAUGGCCGUCGUCAG